AACACUUAUUAACUGAGAGGAAUGCAAACAGGUCGGAGCUGCAGAGACGCAGGACAGGCUUGGAGGGUGGAGGGUGGGAGGUCAGGGUGGGAGGCAGGGGGAGGAUGUGUGUGGGGGGGAAAGGGAAAGCAGCAAACGGAGAAGACACCUCCUCCUCCUCCUCCUCCUCUUCCUUUUUUUACUCCUUGUAAACCCAGAGAGUUUUGGAGAACAAUGCAGCUCCUGCAGCAGAGGAGGCGGCGACCUGAUGGGCUGCAGACGGACGCUGACACACAUAAAGUUUCAUUUCAGUCUGUUUAUUUAUGUUUGUUUGCUUAAACAUUGAUUACCUCGUUUUUUUAUAUCGAUAAGAUCAGCAUUUAUUGAUCCACAAACAUUUGAAGACGUCACUUUGGGAUUUAGUUCAGAUUCAGUUCCCUGUUUAUUUCUCUUUAUGCACUUAUACUGAAAAACACAGAGAUUUAGAGGCUAGUUUUACAGUCGUGGAAACACCUGGAAAAGGAUUCAAAUGAACAAAUAAACUGAAAUUAUCGACGUUGUCCUGAAACAUUUUGUUUGAAUCUCGACUGUUGGUAGGAUUUAAUGUCGUCGUGCGGUUGGUGAGCGUCUGUAGCUCCAGUUUUUAGCACUUUUCGGCCCUCGUCUGGCCAAAAUUGAAUCAAACCAAAUGAACAUCCAAAGGGCUGCUUUUGCUUCUAUCCAAAGGUCUUCCGGUGUUGAAUGUAGAGUACCGCCGCCUGCCGGUGUGGAGAGUUACAACCUCUCACGCAGUCACCAAACAUAGCGCUAGUUGGCCGCUUGCUGUAGUCGGCGUGGUUUGUUCUGUGACGCCGCUUUAAAGGAGCCCUAACUGUUAACAAUAACAGCAGAGAACAGCUGAUCAACUGUACAAUGAACCCAAACAGUGAACACAAUAACUGCAGGAAGUUUGUGUAAAACCAGAGAUUUGGAUGAAUGUUGAGCAGAUGAGUUUUCCUGAUAUUUGUAUGAACUUUAAUGCACUUCUUUGUCUCUAUGAUGUAUUUUAACAAUCAGACAGACUAACAGAUUCAGUGUUUUCUUCUCAUUGUUCCUUCAGCUCUUUGGUUGUUUGAAGGAUCUGAGAAUAUAGCUGGAGUCAGUUUAGAUCUUAAAGUAUAUAAUAAUAUAAUAUAUACUAACAAUUUCAGUUAGAUUUCUUUACAAAAAGUAACUAAAUGAUGAGAUAUUAGGACCACUGUGUAUAUCUGUUAAAGUUUUCUUACACCCCUUAAAAUAAAGAAGCCCUCGCGACCCUCCGUGAAGUUAGUGGAGGACCCGACCCCCAGAUUAGGAACCACUGUUGUUCACGGCACACAUAAAUUUAGUUUCUUUUCAAUCUUGAUUUUUGUUUGUUUGCUUGAACAUUGAUUACCGUGUUUUUUUUAAAAGGAUAAAAUCAGCCUUUAUGGAUCCACAGAUCAACAGUUUGGUCUUUAAUCCACAUGUAAACAAGUGAAAGAGGCUGUGGAGGAGAGAGGGCCGUCGUCAGUGAGGACGAGUGGAGGAAUGAGGGGGGCAGAUAAUGUGCUGAGGAUGUCAGGUGUUGGUGCUCCCACUGUGGCUUUGUUUGCUAAUGGAUUUGACUUUUCCCCAACGCUUGAGAUCUGUUUGCGAACGAUCCAGACCUCUCAGAUGUCAGAGGAUACGAGGGUGUCGCAGUAGGAUGAGUAUUCAGAUCCUUCAGUAGCAAUACAACAAUGUAAAAAACAACAAACCUUAAUCAGUCGUCCCCUCGUUGUAUCAGUCACUCGGUGCCUUAAGGGCGUGUUUUGCAAGUCAACAAUUCACAUAAAGCAGAAGCACCCCGCCGCCCCUGGACUGAGCAUACAAACGGCCGCUUAUUCAGUGCCUUAAAAAACCAGCGGAUUAAGGAAUCAGGGAUCCUGAAAGGCCACCGCGCAGCCCCCGGACUCAGGAGUUAAGCGGCCGUGAAUGAGAUGUGGCGACUCCAAAACAAAGCUACUGUGUCACUCACGCAGCACCGAGGGGAAUGCUGACGUCACGUCUCACAAAAGAGGGGACACUGAGGCCGUAAAAUAUCGUACACCGCCACUGCUGCUCGCCUCAAAUAUGCACCGGAGCUGCUGCCAACUCUGUUCUUUGUGUCCACACAGAGAAAACAGAGGAGCAUUCGCAGCGUUUCCCAGAGGAGUUCCACAUUUUGAUCCAUAUUGGGUAAAAUAUAGCCUCUCUCUCCCCUCAUGGGUGGCCUGGUUUGGCCAGAGGACACAGGGCUGUGGACUCUCGUAGUGGUCUCCAUGGGGAUGAGCAGGACUUGGAGAGGUAUCCGGCUUACUGGAAACGUGGUUUAUUGUUGACUUUCAGGAAUGGGGAGGGGGGCUGCUGCUCUGUGCCGGAGCGGGAAGGCGGGGGUGCGGGUUGGAGACGGAGUUUGGGGGCAGCACUUCCUGGUAGUGGGAAUAUCGUCUCAGCGGGGUUUUAACUCCAUCGUCCAGGUCAGGUCAGGCCCUCAACCUGCACGUGGUGGUAGUGCAUGCUCACACUUGCACUGUAAAAUAUAUUACUGGACUUUUACAAUAAAUAAGGCUAAUAAUAAAUAAUAAUAAUAAAUAAAUACAAUUUUAAAUUAAAUUAUUUUACAGUAAUCUAGGUGAAAAUCACUGUAAAAAUACUUAUUUUUAUUGUGAAAACCUGGUGAUUUUUUCCCAGUGUAUAUAUAUAUAACAGUGGUGGAAGAUGUAAUCAGGUGUAUUUGGAUACUUUACUGAAGUAAAAGUACAAAAACCUACAAACAUGCAUAAAAUAAUGAAAGGUCAUCUGAUAGAAAGCCUCUCAGACGUUAACUAAAGACAUUAAUUAUAGCAGUAGAUUCAUAAACAUACACCAAGCUGCUAUAUAAGCACAGGGACGACCCCUGACUGAAGUUGUUUUAUGGAUAUUUAAUAUUAUAUUUGAUGUAUAACAAUAACAGUAGAGAACAGCUGAUAAAGAAAGAUUCUCUGAAUAUUGAUCAGAGAUAAGUUUUCUGGUACAAAAACCCAAACAGCUCAUCAGAGCAGGAGGAAUGUCAAAUGUUGUACUUUAGCUCCCUCUAGUGGAGAUUUACCUUUAAUGACAGAACACACACACACACACACACACACACACACACACACACACACACACACUAACUAACUUCAGGGGUAGAAUAAUUUUAAGAGCAUCAGGCACCAGUUGAUUUUUCCUCAUUCUCUUCUGAUAACUUAACUUUAACUCAGGUUAAAGGUCAAAAAUUAACAAUGAAUAAUUUAAUAUAAUAAAAUAACCUGUGUAAUACAAUCUGAUUGACUUGUAUUUAUUAUCAUAUUGAUUCUAUUUAUUAUCUGAUGGACUUUUAUGUCUACCUGCCCAGGGAUUCUCUCUUUGUCGCAGCAAAAACAAACAAAUAAAAUGAAAUUAAAGUUCAAAUUAAACAUGAUGGUGAAGCUAAUAAUGAAGUAAUGAUGGAUUAUCAGUAAUAAAAGUGUCCAUAAGGGUGAAAUAUGACUACUGGAAGGUGUUGCGAUAUUCUGUGAUUUAUACUCUAUAUAUUUUUACCUGUAUGAUUAUUAACUAGAAUAGAAAUAUGUUUACUCGUACUUACAUUGAUUAUGCUUACAUUGAUAAAGGGCUGUUAAGGGAAUAUUAGAUGUUUGUAUGAUGUGUUAUAGAAUUAUAACUUAUUAAUGAAUAUGAAUAGCAGACACAGUAUAAGGGAGAAGAGUGUGGGUAGUUGCAGAUAUAACAUGACAUUCUUUUGGAGAGAUAGCGAUAAACACGACUCCGAGGUCAGUAUCAGACAAAACAAUGAUGGAGCCAGACGGACUCCUUCCAGUUCCAGGUUGUGGCUACCCCAACAACACCAUCCUUGGAGUCGAGAUACCAAGUGGACGAAGGGUGGAGAUUCUACCAUCUGGUGCUAUGUGUGUUAUCUGCAAUAAUAUAAGAACUGAUGUUAGGAACAAGAGGUUGCUCAGACUUCGUGAACUGGCAGACCUUGUGCAUGUCAGGUUAAUCGUUGUUGAACCCAGAGCUUUGUAAACUUUGCACAUUCUACUGGUGUUAAGAAUAAAGCUGAUUAUUGAGUAAACUAAA